rnacentral:rRNA from 1 species
CAAAGAUUAAUUUACUUAUUAAAUUGUAAGGUCUUUUAGAGAAUUUUCUUUAUCUUUAGUAUUUUAUUGAAAAGGUUAUUUUUGUAAUAGUUUAUUAGUACUGUAGGGUAAUGUUGAAAUAUUUUGAAAAAUUAUUUAACUAAAAGCAUACUUUAUGUAGUACCUUUUGUAUCAGGGAUGAUUAACUUUAUUUAAUUUAU